GGACGAACGCUGGCGGCGUGCUUAACACAUGCAAGUCGAACGGAGAAUUAUUCGGUAAAUUCUUAGUGGCGAACGGGUGAGUAACGCGUGGCAACCUGCCCUCAGAUGGGGACAACAUCCCGAAAGGAGUGCUAAUACCGAAUACGAUCACGCUGCCGCAUGGCGGUGUGAUGAAAGAUGGCCUCUAUUUAUAAGCUAUCGCUGAAGGAUGGGCCUGCGUCUGAUUAGCUAGUUGGUGGGGUAACGGCCUACCAAGGCGAUGAUCAGUAGCCGGUCUGAGAGGAUGAACGGCCACAUUGGGACUGAGACACGGCCCAAACUCCUACGGGAGGCAGCAGUGGGGAAUAUUCCGCAAUGGACGAAAGCCUGACGGAGCGACGCCCGCGUGAACGAAGAAGGCCGUGAGGUUGUAAAGUUCUUUUCGGGAGGGGGAACAACCGUGGCAGGGAAUGGCCGCGGGAUGACGUGAAUCCCGGAAUAAGCCCCGGCUAACUACGUGCCAGCAGCAGC
rnacentral:rRNA from 1 species